UUUGUUAACCAUCUACUAUAUAAGGGCUGCCGGAUAAUGCAGCAAGCACAGUUCUAAUUAGAGUAUUGCCGAGUGUUGGGUCGUAAACUCGAAAAGGGAUUGAUAUCAAUGGCGAGUUACAAGGUAGACGAUUUACCGCGAAAGCCGUUACAAUUAUAUAAUGGUAAGGAUUAUCGAGUAGAAUCGAACUCGAGUUUGCCAUAUCUAAUUCUACUUAUACCCAUUUUAACCUAAAUUAGAGAAUGCUGUUCUAAGCCCCAGCCAGGGAUAAAGCCAGCUCGGACAAAACAAACAUAAUUUUUGGGAAUUUAAAUUAGAAUAACACUAAUUUAUUAAGAUUACAUAUUGUAAUACAUGUAUCC